rnacentral:sRNA from 1 species
UCUAGGGAAGGGCCGAGUUUCAUGCCUUGUGCGUGAGAGCGGGGGAACCACGAAUUGGGGUGAAUUGUCGACCUGCGCCAGCAGGUUGCCAUAGGCGACACUGAAGAGAUGAGCUCAGAAACGAGCACGUCCCUCAGCUGUGUCGACGAACCCGACAGCUAACCUCGUAGGCGAAUACUGGAGGAUUG